AAGAGCACUACUCACGUAUUCCUUUGAUAAAUGAUACUACUCCUCUAAUUUUGGGAAUGGAUGUCACAUGGGUCUCCUGGUUGAUCAGAUAUCCCAUCUAUUGCUACGGUUGUUGGCUCUCGAUGUUGGCCACUAAUUUCAAGUGAUGAGGACGUUGUUUGUUUUGCUAAAAAGUUACACCCAAUGGGUGCGUUUGGCUUUGAAUGUACCUUGGACAAAGUAAUUGAAAAACUUAAGAGUUAC